AUUCCUUUGUGAUUCGUGCUCAAGGAGCUAGGGGAACGUUUUUCACGUGUCCGUUGAUCUACUCCACCGUUUUAAAUUAUAGGUCGUUUAAAUUUUUUUCCAAAACAAGUAUACAACAAGUAAUACACAUAUACAUGCGAUAUUGGGCCACAAUCUUCGUCCCUGAGUUACUUAGCUCAAAUAGACGAUCCAACCCAACAAACGAAGUCCUCCUCCCACCACCAGGCCAGCUUCGGCCCAAAGAUCACGGCCCACACAGGCAACAGACCCGCCGGUCUGCUCCCACCACGCCACACGCACGGACGGCAAUACCGCGUCUCGCUCGCCUGGCCUCUAUUCUCUCGAUCGAUCCCUCUCUCCCCCAUUCGGCAUUCUCCCUCCUUCCGUUUCCCAAAAUCCAAAGCACUGAAAACCCUAGGUCAUAGAUCGACAGGUGGCCGGAGUGGCGGGGAUGGAGGGAGGAGGCAAGACAGGAGAGCCGCGAGCGCCGACAGGGGACCGCGGCCUGUGCCCUCCCGCCGGCCGCCGCUCGGGCGCUUCUGCGCCGCUUGGCGGCUUGGCGCUGUCCGGCUGGCGCGCAAGGCUGCAAGGGGCAAGGGAUCCACAAGUCACAACCAGUAGAGCCAGGCGAGCUGCUGCAAGGGCCAGGGGCGACAAGCCGACAACCUCACAACCAGCGAACCAGAGGACAGAGAUCAUAGGGCUUUGCAAAUUGCAAAAUGAAGAAGAAAAAGCCGAUUGAUUUGAAGACUUCGUGGGAAAGGCAGGCAAAGGCACAGAAGGUGGGCUCGACAUCAACACCGUCGCCGGUUACCAAUGAAAGUGAAAAGCACAUAAUCCGGAUGCUCCUCUUGUUGAGGCGGUCACAAUUGAAAGUCAUGUUCAGAUUCAAAAUCAAAAUCACCUCUUGUUGAGACAGCAUUUGAAAGUCAUCUAUAUUGACACAUUGUGAACUUUAAUUUUUA